GUCCCUUGACCCAGCUAAGAACCACUCAGAAUAUUGAAAUAAAAAAAGCACAAACGGAUGCGCUCCGUAGUGUAACACCAAAGGUCUAUUUGGAGCAUUACCAUUUAAAGGAGACUUCUAUAGCCCAAAUUAUCAACAACAGACGAAAAACAACCUGAUGCCUACUACUAUGGUAUUUUCAGACAUACAGUUGUAUAAUGAUAAAUUUGAAUUCGGAACAAAAUUUAAGUAUUCGUACAGAGAGAAUACAUGACUUAUGUUUGGUGAAAAAAAGAAGCAUGAAAAAUCUGAAAGGAUGAAGAAUACCUUAACUAUGUACACAGAAAUAUGUAGAAGUAAAAGAAAGAGAAAAGUGAUAAAUAUCUGAAAAUAUUACUGGCAUUUCUUCCCUGGGGGAGAAAGGAAAUUGAAGCAAAGCACAGACUGUUUUGUUUAUCAAAAAAGUACUGUAAAUGGAUAUACAUGAUCUCCUAAUGUUUUAUGAAUACAAAAUGAACAUAACAUAGACAAUGACCCUUUUCUUAUGUAGAAAAAAAAUUCCAACUCUAUUUUUGUCUAUAGGACAAUGUUUUGUAUUGUAACUCACUUCUAUUAAUUUACAUGGCAAAAUAUAUUCUUGUUGAGGCCUGGCCAUGCUUACUGCCACAAGCUGUAUAGAAUUGCACCCAGUUAAAGAGGACCUGUGGCCAAACCCAAAACAUGAGAUUGUACUAUCAAUAUAGAGGUACUCCGGCACAGAAAAAAAUUCAGCAAUUGAAUGACAUUUACAAAGUUAUUUAACUCAAUAUUCUUGUUCUGAUGAUUCUAAACGAUUAUAUGCAUAUUAAUACUCUUUACCGGAAAUUGUGUAGUCCAGUAGAUUUCAGUCCAGUU